GUAAUCCAGGGAUUCUAUCAACAGCUGAAGAUGAGUUUGCUGUGCUGUACUCAAGUUGUUUUCCUUUCAAUCUGUGCUAUCUCCUUGCAGUAUUCCUCUGCCACAAAGUGGACUUCGCGUACCAGCAUUCAGCAGGAUCUGUUUCGCACCCUGACUCUUUUCCUGACGAUCUGUGACAGCUCACAUGGCCUCCAAAGAUGGGAGUGAUGGAGAUGCCCAUAAUCCAGGGAGUGUUCUGAGCUCACAGAAGCAUAAAUGCGAAUUCUGCUGCCUUUCUCACGAAAAACCUCAUCGUCAUGUGCUGCAGGACGCAAUUCCCAGGGCACAAGAGUGUGGAUUACCAUAGAGAAAUGCACGAUUACAGUCAUAUGGCCAAGGCUCUCACCAAGCGUGCAGCUCCACGAGAAUGCUGUGAACUGCCCUCUCCAACCCGAGUGUUCCAAGCUGUGACACACCGAACUUUCCGACACACAGAACUCUUCUGACGGUGGUUGCAAAAUGACAAAUGGUUUCCAAGAAGACAAAGCUCCGCAACCCCAAUGGCAUGAAGUGAGGAUGGCAGUGGCUCCUGUCCUGUUUUUAGGGGCAGGUGGGAAAAGGGAGAUAACAAAUGAGAAAAGCCUGAAAUCUUUGUGUCUGCACUUUGUAGGUGAAACACAUUCACAUUCCUUUUCUUUUAAUUAUUAUAUUUUAGGCAGAUCUUUAUUUCUUCAAAUUAUUGCAGCGAACUAAAAUAUUUUGUUACAUCUCAGACAAGGAAACCUAUUCUGAAAAAAUGGGAUCUUUGGAGGGGAGAAAGUUGUUUCACCAGGAAAUGAAAAGCUCUCCAUUUCUGCACAGUCUGAGCUACGUGUGCUGUGCCGCCGAAGAAAAUAAAAGCAAUCCAUUUCUUUCUCAAGCGAAGCAUAGGAUUUUUCUCAUUCCACUGUCAAAAUAUUUUGCACUUGUGCUCUUCCCCUUCAUUUUGGAACAGUAAGGCUGCGGGUGAAAGAAGGGGCUCUGGGUGGUUGCACUGCACGUCCCCAGGAAGCGGCAUCAAUGCGGAGUGCUGGGAGCUGUCGGUGAGAUACAAAACCACAGCACAAAACAAACGCCGGCGCAAGGAUCUCACGGCUGUCCUUCUUCAGUCAUCAGGGUGUAGGUCGGGGUGUUGUAACCAAACUUCACCUUAAUUCUUCCCACCGCCAUGCCACGAUGUGUGCGCACAGAAAUUCUUCUUUUUCUGUAUGGUUUCUUCCUUUUCUGCAGCGUUCCUUCAUUUGCUAUGGCCGUUUCCAGCUGACGGCCGCUGGUUGGGAGCUCUGUACGUGUUGGGCAGUUGAGCGGAGUCGCUCUGUGGGCAAAAUCCCGUGUGGGUCAGAUUGCUGCUCAUACAUGCCCAGGCUCCAGCAAAGGCAGGGUUUGUCCCAGAGGAUCAGAGCUGCUCAGAGUGGGAGAGAACUCCGAACAACAAAUUUCCUCACCAGAUAUCAGUGCCUGUCGCUGUUGCGGAUCACGCUGCGAGCACGGCGAUCUUUCCUUGCUGCUGAUGUGUGAUCUGAAGCAAUUCUGCAGCUCUGUUCGGGCGCUUCUCGCAGGGAUUUGGGAGUAAAUGCCAUUUGGGUUCGUUUCAUUAAGCACCUCAACUCAGGGAUUUGUUUCUAAUCCUGGGACGAAAAUAUCUCCCCGCACCGCGUUUCUCAGGCAAUGUUUGUGUUCACAAAUUGAAAUAAAACGCCACUUGCC
rnacentral:lncRNA from 7 species